UACGUAGGGGGCGAGCGUUGUCCGGAUUUAUUGGGCGUAAAGAGCGUGUAGGCGGUUCGGUAAGUCUGUCGUGAAAUCCUGAGGCUCAACCUCGGGCGUGCGAUGGAUACUGCCGGGCUAGAGGGUGGUAGAGGCGAGUGGAAUUCCCGGUGUAGCGGUGAAAUGCGCAGAUAUCGGGAGGAACACCAGUAGCGAAGGCGGCUCGCUGGGCCACACCUGACGCUGAGACGCGAAAAGCUAGGGGGAGCAAACGGG
rnacentral:rRNA from 1 species